ensembl:misc_RNA 7SK 7SK RNA
AUGUAAGGGCUCUCUGGCUGUGACAUAUGUCACCCCACUGAUUGCCAGGAUUGAUACGGCUGACCUGUCUGGCUGAGCAAAUGUUCCCUUCUCUCUCACCAUU